ensembl:lncRNA
CAAGACUUACUAUUAAAGACUGAGGCAAAGAAGGCAUUAAGUACCUCAGCCUUAUCCUGAUCCUUGGUCACCAAGUUGCCCUCGGCAUCCAACAAGAGAUGGAGAUUCUCCCUAGCCCUCCUCUUGCUGUUGAUGUAUUUAUAAAAAAUAUUUAUUGUUUUCCUUUACCUUAGCAGCCAAGUUCAGUUCUAGCUGGGCUUUGGCUUUUCUAAUUUUCUCCCAGCACAGCUUCACUAUGUACUUGUAAUCAUCAUAAGUAGCUUGCCCACUCUUCCAGAGACCAUCCAUCCUAUUAUAGAUGUUUGCCCAUUGUCAGGAUAUAGGAAAACCUAUUGAAUAUCUUUUGGGAAUUGUGAGGUUGGUGACAUGCAUUAUGUUUCAGAUGAGGACCUUUCCCUUUAAAGACAAUUUGUUUCUAUGACUUCUAUUUUGAUGGGGCAGGCGUCUGCUGAAGCAUGGUGGACACUGGACAUAGGAGCAUGACAAGACUCAUGAGAGAAAAGUGUUGCAGGUUCUAGAUGGGCUACCUCCUGAUCCAUGAAGUUCACUGUGAUUUUCAUCUUGUGAUGAAUGAAUGCUGUUCCAGCCUGUGAGAUUUAGUUCAUUAUUAGGAUGGAAACUAUGUCUUGAGCAGAGCUUACCAAAACUUAGUCUUUGGUAUUUGGUCCUCACUGUAGAGGUGGUAAAGUAAAAUUCUGCUGGUGUAACUUUUGUUUGCGUUCACUGACUUCAGGGUUGUUGACUUUUGCUAGCCUACCCAGGAUGCUGAAGAAGGCUCCCAUAGUGCUGGAUUCUACAAAUAGCACAUCUCAUACAGAAUUAUGUUUUGAAGAACUCAAGGCUAUAUCCAAAAUACAGUGAAAGAAAGACUUCCAUUGAUUUAACUGAGCUUUGAAUCUAGCCCUUGCUAUUUUAUUAAUGGACUUUGCCAUGUAACGUAGAGUAUUUGUUUCAUUACUGGUGGAGUUUCAAAGCUUCUGAGACUAUCAUCUGUGCCAGAAACUGCAUCUAAAUGUGAGCACUCUCAAAGGUCAGGGUUGGAGAGCACUGAAGUAUUCAGUACUCCAGACUGAGCUCACAUCCAGUGAAGGCAUCCUAGACUUUAAGCUUCAGCAGGGUAUGUUUAAGGAUAUUUUCAGUAUUGCUUUUAUGGGAGGAGAGUGAGAUUUGUUAUUGAUUGUUUCCCAACUGUUGAUAUAUAAACAUCUUCUGAGGAAAAUAAUAAUAAGAAUAAUAAUAAUAAUUUUAAAAAACCCUCAAUAAACACAGAAAAAGUCACUUUACCCAAGCUAAGCAUGUGAAAUAGAGAGCAAACCUCACAGCAACAUCUGCCCCUCUGGGUUAUCAUUUUUCCCCUCUAUUCACAGACACCUAUUUCCAUGGAUAUAUCUAUGUUAUCUAUACCAAACAUUGCUAAACGUGUGGCCAUAAUUCAAUUUACAUAAUGAUCAGGAGACCACCCAGAAAUGAGGAGGGAAAAGCAGAUAGAAUUUGGAACUGGACACCCUACCCACAUCUCCAGUACACUGCUAAUUGUCUGGUCAUUGAUGCCAUAAACAUUUUACUUGUUCAUCCACCCUUGAGAGCAUAUGCCCUCCCCUCACAACAGUCAUCAACAGCCUGGGAACAAAAACCAUCAACCUUUUGUUGCCUAAAACCAAAAUUUCUGAUUCUCCCAGAGACUGCUCUAAAUUUUGUGAUGAAAAAAUCUCCCAAGUUAACGAAAUGGCAUACAAAUGAUACUAAAUGUUUAAAAAUAUGCCGGCAGUGGUUAUAUAAGGUCUUUUCUGUUCCAAAGUACGUAUCAGAGGGAUAUAACUAGGACAGUGAAAAUGUGAAAUAAAUAUAAAUUGCCAGCUUGGAAGAAAAAAUGAUGUUCAUCCCACAGUCUUAAAAUCAUUCAUGUGCAGAGAUUUUUUUUACAGUUUUCUAAUUUUAUAUUAUGUUUUGUAAAUUAUUUAUAAAAUGUUGUAAUGCUUCUUAUAUUAAUUUUUUUAUAAACAAAUUUUUGCUAUGAGGCAUAAAUGGUGCCUGAACAGAUUCUUAGGAAGAUAAAUUAUGUGUGUGUCAUACAUCAUUUGGGGGCCAUAAAUAUUUUGUUUUGUUUUGUUACUGGCAACAUUUCUGGUUUCCAUUUUUAACAAUUUUCAUCUAUUGAUUACAUUUGAAUACCUUUUAAUUUUGCAUGUGACUAAAAGAUAGAUUGCUACCAGCAAAUGAAACAGAAGUCUCUUCAGUCAUAUGUGAAGGUUUAAUGGUUUUCCAAUUUAUUGAUCAUUGAAUUUUUAUAUAUAUAUAUAUAUAUAUAAUUAUUAUUUGAAUAAUGGACCAAGGGUUCAAUUACCGAUCUGAUUUUGUCUUUUUAUGUUUUUUCACUAAAAAGCUGUUUUGGACAGUUGAAGAAAUCCAAUGCAUUCAAAUGGUUCCAGUUUCUUUAUGUUAUUAACAAAAAAAAAAAAAAAAGAAAAAAAAAGAAAAGAAAAAGAAGAGAGAAAAAGAACGCAAAAAGGAGCUAGGAAGGAACAAGUAGAGGCGUAUCAAAGAACUCAAGCUAUAACCAAAAAGAAAUAUGUAAAAUGCCUUUGCUCGUCUUCUCAAUGCUGGACCAAAGCUCAAUGUAUAAUGGUCACCAGGGUCACUUAUGAAGCACUGCAAAGAGAUCUGUUUUUCCAUGCAUGGAGCAUGGAGUGGAAAGAUGGCAGUAUGAAAUGGACUGUGUUUUGUUGCUAAAAAAUACUAAUUAAUUCCAAAAGGAGUUGAUGUGGUGGACUUGUGACCGAGAAACCAAACUGGAUAUUUAAAAGCUCCUUACUACUCUGACUUUGAAACCAAAGCUGAUUUAUCUGCACAGGUUGCUUAACAUGAAAAAAAAUAAAUAAAUAAACUGACAAAAACUGUACUUAAUCUAGAGCAAUAUCUGUAUGGUCAGUAAAGC